AGCGUCAUGCUGCAGGGGUGAAAAUGCCAAUGGCAGGAGCUGAGAACUGGGAGCCUGGGAGGCCUGGGCCUUCGAGGGAAAGUUCCCGGAUAAGAAGCCGGAAGUGAGUAGGGAUUGGCCUUGAAGGGAGGCGGGCGGGCUGGAACUGUGAACUCCCUGCCUGGUCACGGGGUCAUGGCCAGAUUUUCCUCCUGCCAAGAGAACCCCCGGGAGAGCCUGAGGACCACCCCCCGGCCCCCGAGGGCAUUGUAUGGGGACAGAGGCCCUUACGGAGUUCCCCGGGGACUCUGAACAACAAGCAGCCUGGCUGAGUCUGUGGCUUGGCCAACAAAAGGACCUCGGGGGUCGCCGCCCAUCGUCAGGCCGCAGGUUACGUCCUGUAAAGGGGUGAAGGGGAGUCUUAGAGGGCCUCUCCUGCACCCCCAACCCCCCGGGAACAUUGGAACUUGCAUAGCUGCCCCUAAGACGCGUGCUCCAAAGCCUCCACAGAGAAAGAUGCUGUUCCAGGAUGGGUCUGACUCCUUGGUGUGCUCUGUACGUGAUUCAGAUAGGCGUCUUCAAAAUGGACAAGAAAGACUCAGGUUGGUUUGUUUGUUUUGGCUUUUUACUUUAUUCAUUUUUUUAAAAAAUGGAUAAUUGCUUUACAGUCUUCUGUUGGUUUCUGCUGUACAGUGACGUGAAUCAGCUGUAAGUAUACAUAUAUCCUCCUUCUCCAGCCUCCCUCCCACCUUCCCUCCACUCCACCCUGACAGACUGGGGUUGAUGUGCUGAAAUAUUUUGGGUGUGACUGGUCAGUGAGCAGAUACAAAUGUUAAGCAUCAAAAUCUAUAUUCAUAGCAAUUGUCUUUUCCUCAUGAUUUGGAGGCUUUGUUUUCACAACUGUGGGAUGUUUUAGUUGGUGUAUGAGAACCUUGAGGGUCCAGGAGCCUUGGGGGCCAGAAGGUUCUAGUUGAACAGGGGAGUUGGGGGAGAACCCGGGGCCUAGGAGAAGGACUGGGAGCCCAAGGUCUCUGGGAGGACAGUG
rnacentral:lncRNA from 1 species